rnacentral:lncRNA from 1 species
AAUUGAACUUGCAGGCUUGGAAAUAUCUCUGGGUUCUGCUUGAAUUCUUGCCCUGGCUCUUGGUGAAGGAUCGGCCUGCUGGAUCUGAGUCAUCCACCUAUAAGAGGGACAACACCACACAUUGGUCGCUGCUCUCAAGCCCCUGGAAUACCACCCCACUUGGCUUCUCCUGGUAACAGUGGCUGCCUUUGCUUGCCUGUCUCCAACUCCUCCCAAGAGCAUUGCUGACUAUACCACCCACAUAAACAAAAACUUUUUGGGAGUCCUCCAGAAUUUUUAAGAGUUAUCUAAACUAUUGCCUUUAAUGACCAGGAACUCCAAUUUGAGAAGUUACCCUACGUUAAGCCAACAGCAGCCUGGCUCCUUCAUCCUGUGCAGUAUGGGACAGAGCUGGGUCCUUGUUGUCAUCAGCCAGACAAGCACACAUUAAAGCCCACCUUAGCCAUUGGCAUUACAGCUUUAAAAGCAGCUCCAUCCUACCAUGCUGUCACUCUACUCAAUCACGUGAUCUUAACGACCAGCUCUACAUAUCCUCUCUCCAUGCCCCCACCACCAUCCCCCACCAACAAAUCCGGUAAUCUAUCUCUGUCAAUAGUCCUGCAGUGAAUUCCGAAUAAGUUUUUCUCUUCCCUGGCCUGCCGUUUACGUAGUACCCUGGAUGAAUCUAUACUUACU